rnacentral:rRNA from 1 species
CACCGCGGUUAUACGAGAGACUCAAGUUGAUAGACUACGGCGUAAAGAGUGGUUAAGAAUAAAAUAAAAUAAAGUCGAAUGCUCUCAAAGCUGUUAUACGCACCCGAGAGUAAGAAGCCCAAUCACGAAAGUAACUUUACACAAUUCUGACCCCACGAAAGCUAGGCCA